UGCCCCAGUAACGGCGAGUGAAGCGGCAACAGCUCAAAUUUGAAAUCUGGCCCCCCCCGCGGGGCCCGAGUUGUAAUUUGCAGAGGAUGCUUUUGGCGCGGCGCCUUCCGAGUUCCCUGGAACGGGACGCCAUAGAGGGUGAGAGCCCCGUCUGGUCGGACGCCCAGCCUCUGUAAAGCUCCUUCGACGAGUCGAGUAGUUUGGGAAUGCUGCUCUAAAUGGGAGGUAUAUGUCUUCUAAAGCUAAAUACUGGCCAGAGACCGAUAGCGCACAAGUAGAGUGAUCGAAAGAUGAAAAGCACUUUGAAAAGAGGGUUAAACAGUACGUGAAAUUGUUGAAAGGGAAGCGCUUGUGACCAGACAUGGGCGCGGCGAAUCAUCCGGCGUUCUCGCCGGUGCACUUCGCCGCGCCCGGGCCAGCAUCAGUUCGCGGCGGGGGACAAAGGCGCCGGGAACGUGGCUCCCCCGGGAGUGUUAUAGCCCGGCGCGCAAUGCCCCGCGGCGGACUGAGGUUCGCGCAUCCGCAAGGAUGCUGGCGUAAUGGUCACCAGUGACCCGUCUUGAAACACGGACCAAGGAGUCGUCCUCGUAUGCGAGUGUUCGGGUGUCAAACCCCUACGCGCAAUGAAAGUGAACGCAGGUGAGAGCCUCACGGCGCAUCAUCGACCGAUCCUGAUGUUCUCGGAUGGAUUUGAGUAAGAGCAUACGGGGCCGGACCCGAAAGAAGGUGAACUAUGCCUGUGUAGGGUGAAGCCAGAGGAAACUCUGGUGGAGGCUCGCAGCGGUUCUGACGUGCAAAUCGAUCGUCAAACAUGGGCAUGGGGGCGAAAGACUAAUCGA
rnacentral:rRNA from 2 species